rnacentral:rRNA from 1 species
UACGUAGGGGGCUAGCGUUGUCCGGAAUCAUUGGGCGUAAAGCGCGUGUAGGCGGUCCGGUAAGUCCGCUGUGAAAGUCGGGGGCUCAACCCUCGGAUGCCGGUGGAUACUGUCGGGCUUGAGUACGGAAGAGGCGAGUGGAAUUCCUGGUGUAGCGGUGAAAUGCGUAGAUAUCGGGAGGAACACCUGUGGCGAAGGCGGCCCCCUGGUUGGAUACUGACGCUGAGACGCGAAAGCGUGGGGAGCAAACAGG